AUGAAGGACGUGCUAAUCUGCGAUAAGCGUCGGUAAGGUGAUAUGAACCGUUAUAACCGGCGAUUUCCGAAUGGGGAAACCCAGUGUGUUUCGACACACUAUCAUUAACUGAAUCCAUAGGUUAAUGAGGCGAACCGGGGGAACUGAAACAUCUAAGUACCCCGAGGAAAAGAAAUCAACCGAGAUUCCCCCAGUAGCGGCGAGCGAACGGGGAGCAGCCCAGAGCCUGAAUCAGUGUGUGUGUUAGUGGAAGCGUCUGGAAAGGCGCGCGAUACAGGGUGACAGCCCCGUACACAAAAAUGCACAUGCUGUGAGCUCGAUGAGUAGGGCGGGACACGUGGUAUCCUGUCUGAAUAUGGGGGGACCAUCCUCCAAGGCUAAAUACUCCUGACUGACCGAUAGUGAACCAGUACCGUGAGGGAAAGGCGAAAAGAACCCCGGCGAGGGGAGUGAAAAAGAACCUGAAACCGUGUACGUACAAGCAGUGGGAGCACAGAGCAAUCUGUGUGACUGCGUACCUUUUGUAUAAUGGGUCAGCGACUUAUAUUCUGUAGCAAGGUUAACCGAAUAGGGGAGCCGAAGGGAAACCGAGUCUUAACUGGGCGUUAAGUUGCAGGGUAUAGACCCGAAACCCGGUGAUCUAGCCAUGGGCAGGUUGAAGGUUGGGUAACACUAACUGGAGGACCGAACCGACUAAUGUUGAAAAAUUAGCGGAUGACUUGUGGCUGGGGGUGAAAGGCCAAUCAAACCGGGAGAUAGCUGGUUCUCCCCGAAAGCUAUUUAGGUAGCGCCUCGUGAAUUCAUCUCCGGGGGUAGAGCACUGUUUCGGCAAGGGGGUCAUCCCGACUUACCAACCCGAUGCAAACUACGAAUACCGGAGAAUGUUAUCACGGGAGACACACGGCGGGUGCUAACGUCCGUCGUGAAGAGGGAAACAACCCAGACCGCCAGCUAAGGUCCCAAAGUCAUGGUUAAGUGGGAAACGAUGUGGGAAGGCCCAGACAGCCAGGAUGUUGGCUUAGAAGCAGCCAUCAUUUAAAGAAAGCGUAAUAGCUCACUGGUCGAGUCGGCCUGCGCGGAAGAUGUAACGGGGCUAAACCAUGCACCGAAGCUGCGGCAGCGACGCUGAUGCGUUGUUGGGUAGGGGAGCGUUCUGUAAGCCUGCGAAGGUGUGCUGUGAGGCAUGCUGGAGGUAUCAGAAGUGCGAAUGCUGACAUAAGUAACGAUAAAGCGGGUGAAAAGCCCGCUCGCCGGAAGACCAAGGGUUCCUGUCCAACGUUAAUCGGGGCAGGGUGAGUCGACCCCUAAGGCGAGGCCGAAAGGCGUAGUCGAUGGGAAACAGGUUAAUAUUCCUGUACUUGGUGUUACUGCGAAGGGGGGACGGAGAAGGCUAUGUUGGCC
rnacentral:rRNA from 1 species